AUGAACGCUAGCUACAGGCUUAACACAUGCAAGUCGAGGGGCAGCAUGGUCUUAGCUUGCUAAGGCCGAUGGCGACCGGCGCACGGGUGAGUAACACGUAUCCAACCUGCCGUCUACUCUUGGACAGCCUUCUGAAAGGAAGAUUAAUACAAGAUGGCAUCAUGAGUCCGCAUGUUCACAUGAUUAAAGGUAUUCCGGUAGACGAUGGGGAUGCGUUCCAUUAGAUAGUAGGCGGGGUAACGGCCCACCCAGUCUUCGAUGGAUAGGGGUUCUGAGAGGAAGGUCCCCCACAUUGGAACUGAGACACGGUCCAAACUCCUACGGGAGGCAGCAGUGAGGAAUAUUGGUCAAUGGGCGAGAGCCUGAACCAGCCAAGUAGCGUGAAGGAUGACUGCCCUAUGGGUUGUAAACUUCUUUUAUAAAGGAAUAAAGUCGGGUAUGCAUACCCGUUUGCAUGUACUUUAUGAAUAAGGAUCGGCUAACUCCGUGCCAGCAGCCGCGGUAAUACGGAGGAUCCGAGCGUUAUCCGGAUUUAUUGGGUUUAAAGGGAGCGUAGAUGGAUGUUUAAGUCAGUUGUGAAAGUUUGCGGCUCAACCGUAAAAUUGCAGUUGAUACUGGAUAUCUUGAGUGCAGUUGAGGCAGGCGGAAUUCGUGGUGUAGCGGUGAAAUGCUUAGAUAUCACGAAGAACUCCGAUUGCGAAGGCAGCCUGCUAAGCUGCAACUGACAUUGAGGCUCGAAAGUGUGGGUAUCAAACAGGAUUAGAUACCCUGGUAGUCCACACGGUAAACGAUGAAUACUCGCUGUUUGCGAUAUACUGCAAGCGGCCAAGCGAAAGCGUUAAGUAUUCCACCUGGGGAGUACGCCGGCAACGGUGAAACUCAAAGGAAUUGACGGGGGCCCGCACAAGCGGAGGAACAUGUGGUUUAAUUCGAUGAUACGCGAGGAACCUUACCCGGGCUUAAAUUGCAGAUGAAUUACGGUGAAAGCCGUAAGCCGCAAGGCAUCUGUGAAGGUGCUGCAUGGUUGUCGUCAGCUCGUGCCGUGAGGUGUCGGCUUAAGUGCCAUAACGAGCGCAACCCUUAUCGAUAGUUACCAUCAGGUGAUGCUGGGGACUCUGUCGAGACUGCCGUCGUAAGAUGUGAGGAAGGUGGGGAUGACGUCAAAUCAGCACGGCCCUUACGUCCGGGGCUACACACGUGUUACAAUGGGGGGUACAGAGGGCCGCUACCACGCGAGUGGAUGCCAAUCCCAAAAACCUCUCUCAGUUCGGACUGGAGUCUGCAACCCGACUCCACGAAGCUGGAUUCGCUAGUAAUCGCGCAUCAGCCACGGCGCGGUGAAUACGUUCCCGGGCCUUGUACACACCGCCCGUCAAGCCAUGGGAGCCGGGGGUACCUGAAGUGCGUAACCGCAAGGAGCGCCCUAGGGUAAAACUGGUGAUUGGGGCU
rnacentral:rRNA from 1 species